rnacentral:rRNA from 1 species
AGGACGAACGCUGGCGGCGUGCUUAACACAUGCAAGUCACGGGGGGCCCGCAAGGGCUAACCGGCGAACGGGUGCGUAACACGUGAACAACCUGCCCUUGUGUGGGGGAUAGCCGGGCUAACGCCCGGGUAAUACCGCAUACGUUCUUCGCGAGGAGUCUCGGGGAGAGGAAAGCCUGGGCAACCAGGCGCACGGGGAGGGGUUCGCGGCCUAUCAGCUAGUUGGCGGGGUAACGGCCCACCAAGGCGACGACGGGUAGCC